AUUGAACGCUGGCGGCAUGCCUAACACAUGCAAGUCGAACGAGUGGCGGACGGGUGUGUGAUGUCUGGGAAACUGCCUGAUGGAGGGGGCUAAGGACUGGAAAGCGUGGCUAAUACUGCAUACGAUCGGAUGAGGCGAGAGUGGAUUAGAUAGUCUGGGUGGUAAAGGCUCACCUAGUCGACGAUCCCUAGCGGGUCUGAGAGGCUGACCAGCCACACGUGAACUGAGACACGGUCCAGACCCCUACGGAAGGCAGCAGUGGGGAAUAUUGCACAAUGGGCGAAAGCCUGAUGCAGCCAUGCCGCGUGUAUGAAGAAGGCUUUCGGGUUGUAAAGUACUUACAGCGGUGAGGCGUUACCCACAGAAGAAGCACCGGCUAACUCCGUGCCAGCCGCCGCGGUAAUAC
rnacentral:rRNA from 1 species